UACGGGGGGGGCAAGCGUUGUUCGGAAUUACUGGGCGUAAAGGGCUCGUAGGUGGCCAACUAAGUCGGACGUGAAAUCCCUCAGCUUAACUGGGGAACUGCGUCCGAUACUGGAUGGCUUGAGUUUGGGAGAGGGAUGCGGAAUUCCAGGUGUAGCGGUGAAAUGCGUAGAUAUCUGGAGGAACACCGGUGGCGAAGGCGGAUCUCUGGGCCAUUACUGACGCUGAGGAGCGAAAGCGUGGGGAGCGAACAGG
rnacentral:rRNA from 1 species